UGCCGCGUGGUGUAAUGGUAACACAAAUGAUUUUGGUUCAUUUGUUUUCGGUUCGAGUCCGGACGUGGCAA
rnacentral:tRNA from 1 species